CUUAGUUCCCAUCACCCCCCACCACCAGGGUCCCUCCUGAAUGUUUACUGUUUUAUUUUGCCGAGCUCUCCACUCUUGGAAUGCCUCAGGAGUCAAAGGCUCGGCUCCUCUAUGGGCUGCUAGCAACUGUAAUCUACUUUCUGCUGCUUCUUUUCCCUUCUUCAGCUGGAACCACUUCAUAGUCUGAGGAACUUUUAAGGACAUCUGCGAGAACCUGAAACUCUAAAACAAUUUUUUAAGAAGAAAAAAACCUGGCCCUGUAGCAGUGUUGCCAUGUACACUGACUGACGAUCUCGGUGCUGGGGAGACAGAGAGAGCAGGAUCUCGGGUUUGAGUCCUGCCUGAGCUACAUAGCAAGACUUUAUCGCAAAGCACACAGAAAGGACCUGUGUGCUCUGUGACCCCCAAGGAAAAGGAAGAAGCUGGAUUGAAAUUAAGCUCUCUGGUUUCAGGCUACUCCCGCUUGGCUGGUGUCCUUUAUCACGGUUUUGGUGGUUCUGAUUGCUUUUGUUGGUCCUGAUGCUAAGAGUGUGUCCCCAGGAAUGCGGCACCAGACCUGGCAAGAAAAUACUUGGAACGCCGAGAUGGGUUACCUCACCCCGAGUUCUCGGUUCUUCUCUGCCCUGAGGAAUGCCUCUGCAUUCAUCUCCAGCUUCUCUUCUUCUCUCCCUCCCUCCUUCCCUCCCUCCUCUCUCUUCUUCCCUUCCUCCCUCCCUUUCUCCUUCUCUCCCUCCCUCCCUCUCCUUCUUUCUCUCUUGCAUGGUCUUUUUUUUCCUCUCUUCCUUUUUUUAAACCAGCAUCCAAUAUAGCCCUAAUUCACUAUGCAACCUCAGAAGACUUUCAACUUUGUAUUCCCUUGCCUCCACCUCUCAAGUGCUGGGGCUACAAAUGCAUCUCUCGGCAACCAUCAUUCUUCAUCUCUAUUUUCAUAAAAGAACUGCAAAGACAUUUCAGAAGGUACGGGGAUAACCAGCACCCCACCCUACCCCCAAUUCUACCCAUGGCAGACAUGGCUAAUCAAGUGAAAAGUGUUUUCCCUAAGCCACAAAAUCCUACCAACGCACCCAUCUCAUGAUUGAGAAUAUCACACAUUGAUCAAGGUUUACUCUCAAGAAAGUACAUGUCGGGGCUGGAGAAAAGACUCAGCCAUUAAGAGCACCGGCUACAAUUGCAGAGGACCUGGGUUCCAUUCUCAGCACCCACAUAUGCAGCUCGCAACCAUCUGUGACUCCAAUCCUAGGGUCUCUGGCACCCUCUUCCAGCCUCCAUGAGCAUUACAUACAAGCAUGUGAUCAGUGUGAAGAAGCUUGGAGAAGGAAGGUGACCCGAAGCCAUACCACCUGUAUGCGGCAGAGCUUCAUGUCCAAACAGGGCUUCAUCCAUCCCCAGAAGCUGGGACUAGAGAGACACUCAGCAGGACAAGGAUCGCACCUGGACCCCAGGCACCGCAAGCUAGUUACUCGGCCGCUGGGAUACAUUCGCUGCGAGGAAAUGUGCACUUCUAUGACCCUGCUGUGUGCGCUCAGCUACUUAGUGCAUCCGUGGGAGCCUAGAACUAUUUGCUGCACAGUGUCUGGCAGUUACCAAGUAGCCGUGGAUAUUCUGGGAGAGUUCAGUGGGCUAGUCUUCACACACGUAGCCCUCCUCGGCCCUGCUGUUUCUUUUCAAGAUGGAGACACACUGGAAUGCCCAGACUGUAGACUUCCAGGCUCAAGAAAUCAUCCUGCCAGCUGGCCUUGAGGAGAAACCCAAGCCCUCCUUCCUGGUCCCCCAGACAGGAGCUGGAAGCCCUGUCGGGUGACUGAGGCAGCUGAGCAGACCCAGUGCCCCCAGCGACUCCCUGACUGUUUUGAUGAACACCUAGACUCCAGACUCUCCUUAUCGCCCAUUCUUGGCUACUUCUAGCCCUGGAGGUUUCUCUGAUCCCUCCUCCACCUCUCAAGCUGGCUGGAGUGUUUUGAAGCCAGCAGCUGAUCAUUCCCUCUAAGAUCCUGGGGACAUUAGCAUCCCUCUGGCCUAUCUCCCAGACACACAGCCGAGGAGAUUAAAGAAAGGGGGCGUGUGAGGCUCACAAGCCAAAGAUUCCUGUGUCCCGCCCUGGGCCCUGGAGGAAAGCCUAUUGUUCUAGAGAUAAAGUUACUACUGGAGAAGGCUUCUUGAGGAACUUUCUCCUAGGAAUCAAGGACUUCUUGGAGUCGACAGCACCUGCAAGUCCAGACUCGUCCCAGGGGCUUAAACAGCCUUAGAGCCCUUUCUGCAGCCAACUGAGCACUGAGAUAACUCCCCUAGGGGCUUUGGCUCCCAGAUCUGCCCCAUGCUGGCGCCAUGAUGGUUUCUUUCUGCUUCACUCACCUUGAAAGCAAGCAAGACUCUGUGGGUAGGUAUGUGCAUGUCACCUUGCACAUGUGGAGGUCAAAGGGCAACUAGAGGAAGUUGGUUCUCGCCUCCCACCUUGUGGGUACCAGGAUAGUAAACUUAAGUCAUCAGUCUUGGCAGCAGGGCACCCGACCAUCUUGCCACCCCCUCCCUAUUUUUGUUCUGAUUUGAGACAAGGUCUUACGUAGCCCAAGCUGACCUGGAAUCUGAUACACAGGCAAGGAUAGGAACAACCAUGAACUGAGAGUUCCCAUUUAUGUUCUGGAGGCUACUGAGACUGGGCAGCCUCUGCUGCGUCUUCUGCGGAGGAUCCAUUAACAAAAAUCUUCUGCCCGGUUUUUAAUUGGGUCAUUUGUAUUCUGCUGACUGACUUCAAAGACUGCUGUAAUAUUCUAGACCCACG